rnacentral:rRNA from 1 species
GAUGAACGCUGGCGGCGUGCCUAAUACAUGCAAGUCGAGCGAAGCGGGGACGGGUGAGUAACACGUGGAUAACCUCCUGUAAUAGUGGGAUAACUUCGGGAAACCGGAGCUAAACGGGAAACUUACAGAGGGCUCCGCGUUGCAUAAGCUAGUUGGUAAGGUAAAGGCUUACAAAGGCAAAGAUGCAUAUCCGACCUGAGAGGCUGAUCGGCCACACUGGAACUGAGACACGGUCCAGACUCCUACGGGAGGCAGCAGUAGGGAAUCUUCCGCAAUGGGCGAAAGCCUGAUGGAGCAACGCCGCGUGAGUGAUGAAGGUCUUCGGAUCGUAAAACUCUGUUGUUAGGGAAGCGGUAUCUAACCAGAAAGCCACGGCUAACUACGUGCCAGCCGCCGCGGUAAUUC